GCUCCGGCAGCGCGUGGAGGAUUGGUGUAUCACAGUGUGUCAGGUGCUGGGGUGCGCUUCCUGAGCGAUCAGAUGCGGAUGUCCCUUUCUUUCCAUGACAGUGGAGGUUGCUGCAUGAAGGGAUAGAACGGUAUUGAAGGGCGCGGUGGGGCUGUGACUGCGAGCUGGGGUCAUCACAAAAGGCAGCUGAAGGCCGGGGACGAGCCAGUGUACAUAAGCGUCAGACUGGGACGACAGAGAGCAGAGGGGUCGAUUUCCUGUUUUUAGGAAGUGACAAGAGGAUCUCUCCCUGGCAUUCCCAAGGCGGAAUAUUUUAGAGCUUCAUUCUGCAACAGCCUUUUGUUCCUGCAUUCUCAUUACAGCUGAUUCCUCUGUGUCCCCUUCUCCUGCCACGCUCCCUCUCUCCUCUCAGGCCUCCAGCUUAUACAACAAGAUGCAGAUGCCAGCCCAAAUCAAAGAAUACACCAAUUUCCUUAUUUUUUGUUUUGUUUUGUUUGUUUGCUCCUGGAUUUUCAGAACUGUGAAGUUACAAUUAAAAUGAUAAAUAAAAUAUUCUACUACAGCCCACCCA